UACGAGAGGGUCUCGGACUUAAAUUAUGGGUUAAGAUACAUAAAGUAUGUUCUAAUGAAAAAUCCUCUUCUUCAAAAUUAGCCAUCUGAUGUUUCAUUUACUAACGAAUAUGGGACUGAAGAAAGUACUCACUGUACAGGGAAAGUACUCACUGUACAGGGAAGGGCGUAGCUUCAUCUCUCUCUUUGUAUUGUGUAUCUGUAUCAGUGUGUGUGUUAUGACGAAGUCAAGGGGUUCCAGGGGUCCAGCUCCAAUACGACCAGGAACACAAAUGUUUAAUUUCA
rnacentral:lncRNA from 1 species